GGGGUUAUGGUGUAACCUGGCAGCACGUUAGGCUCCAGACCUAACAGUCUGGGUUCAAAUCCCAGUGACCCCACCA
rnacentral:tRNA from 1 species